AAGGGAGACCUAAUUCAGGUAGGAGACGAAAAAAAAGUAGUCCCUACCAAGAAUCAAUCCCAAAAGGUCGGAGCGAGGCAAAAUUGGCUUUCAAACUAGGUUCUGGGUUCACACAAGACCUGAAUCAGGAACAAGGGCUAUUAGCUCAGGUGGUUAGAGCGCACCCCUGAUAAGGGUGAGGUCCCUGGUUCGAGUCCAGGAUGGCCCACCUGUACAGGUGGCAAAAACAAAGAAAAGAAGCUCCGAAUCAGCACCUUAUCUUACUUAUAUAGUAAGAGAGAAUGCUGGCUCUGAGUUCAGAGUCCAGAGGAACCUUGAAAACUGCAUAGAGCUAGGUGAAAAAGCCAAAAAAGAAGACCACAA
rnacentral:tRNA from 1 species